rnacentral:rRNA from 1 species
UUAAUCAAGAACGAAAGUUAGAGGUUCGAAGGCGAUCAGAUACCGCCCUAGUUCUAACCGUAAACUAUGCCUACUAGGUGUAUGAAUUAUUAGUUAUAAUAAUUUAUGCACCUUCUCGGAAACGAAAGUCUUUCGGUUCCGGGGGAAGUAUGGUUGCAAAGCUGAAACUUAAAGGAAUUGACGGAAGGGCACCACCAGGAGUGGAGCCUGCGGCUUAAUUUGACUCAACACGGGAAAACUCACCCGGGCCGGACACUAUAAGGAUUGACAGAUUGAUAGCUCUUUCAUGAUUUAGUGGUUGGUGGUGCAUGGCCGUUCUUAGUUCGUGGAUAUGAUUUGUCUGGUUGAUUCCGAUAACGAGCGAGACUUUUAUGUUAUAUUAAAUAAUAUUAUUUAUAAAUUUUAUAUUUUAUAUAAUAUUUUAUUUUAAUAACAGAUUAAUAGUGUUUAACUAUUUGAGAGAGAGCAAUAACAGGUCUGUGAUGCCCUUAGAUGUCCGGGGCUGCACG